rnacentral:rRNA from 1 species
GUUAUAUGGUCAAGCGAAUAAGCGCACACGGUGGAUGCCUUGGCGGUCAGAGGCGAUGAAGGACGUGGCAGCCUGCGAAAAGUAUCGGGGAGCUGGCAACAAGCUUUGAUCCGGUAAUGUCCGAAUGGGGAAACCCACCCGCUUGCGGGUAUCCUGCAGUGAAUACAUAGCUGCUGGAGGCGAACCUGGUGAACUGAAAUAUCUAAGUAACCAGAGGAAAAGAAAUCAACCGAGAUUCCGUAAGUAGCGACGAGCGAACGCGGACUAGCCCUUAAGCUGAUUUGGUUCUAGGAAAACGCUCUGGAAAGAGCGGCCAUAGAAGGUGAUAGCCCUGUAUCUGAAAGGGCCAUUUCAGUGAAGACGAGUAGGGCGGGGCACGUGAAACCCUGUCUGAACAUGGGGGGACCAUCCUCCAAGGCUAAAUACUACUGACCGACCGAUAGUGAACCAGUACCGUGAGGGAAAGGCGAAAAGAACCCCGGAGAGGGGAGUGAAAUAGAACCUGAAACCGUGUGCGUACAAGCAGUAGGAGCUCCGCAAGGAGUGACUGCGUACCUUUUGUAUAAUGGGUCAGCGACUUACUGUUCGUGGCAAGCUUAACCGUAUAGGGGAGGCGAAGGGAAACCGAGUCUGAUAAGGGCGCAUAGUCGCGGGCAGUAGACCCGAAACCGGGUGAUCUAGUCAUGCCCAGGGUGAAGGUGCGGUAACACGCACUGGAGGCCCGAACCCACUCCCGUUGCAAAGGUAGGGGAUGAGGUGUGAUUAGGAGUGAAAAGCUAAUCGAACCCGGAGAUAGCUGGUUCUCCUCGAAAGCUAUUUAGGUAGCGCCUCAUAUGUAUCCUCUCGGGGGUAGAGCACUGUUAUGGCUAGGGGGUCAUCGCGACUUACCAAACCAUUGCAAACUCCGAAUACCGAGACGGACUGUAUGGGAGACACACGGCGGGUGCUAACGUCCGUCGUGAAAAGGGAAACAACCCAGACCCACAGCUAAGGUCCCAAAUUUUGUGCUAAGUGGAAAACCAUGUGGAAAGGCACAGACAGCCAGGAGGUUGGCUUAGAAGCAGCCACCCUUUAAAGAAAGCGUAAUAGCUCACUGGUCGAGUCGGUCUGCGGGGAAGAUUUAACGGGGCUAAGCACAGAACCGAAGCUUGGGGUGCAUAACUUUGUUAUGCGCGGUAGAGGAGCGUUCCGUAAGCCGUUGAAGGUGGAUUGAGAAGUCUGCUGGAGGUAUCGGAAGUGCGAAUGCUGACAUGAGUAACGAUAAUGCGGGUGAAAAACCCGCACGCCGAAAGCCCAAGGUUUCCUUGCGCAACGUUAAUCGGCGCAGGGUGAGUCGGCCCCUAAGGCGAGGACGAAAGUCGUAGUCGAUGGGAAGCAGGUUAAUAUUCCUGCACCUCGCGUAAGUGCGAUGGAGGGACGGAGAAGGUUAGGUGUACCAGGCGUUGGUUGUCCUGGGGAAAGGCGGUAGGUUUGGAUCUUUGGCAAAUCCGGGAUCCUCUAAGACCGAGCACCGAGACGAGCCUUUAUGGCAAAGUCACUGAUACCACGCUUCCAGGAAAAGCUCCUAAGCUUCAGCUUACGCAGACCGUACCGUAAACCGACACAGGUGGGUAGGAUGAGAAUUCUCAGGCGCUUGAGAGAACUCGGGUGAAGGAACUAGGCAACAUGGCACCGUAACUUCGGGAGAAGGUGCACCCUUUUUGGUGGCUCGUGCGAGCUAUAGCUGAAGAGGGUCGCAGUAACCAGGCCGCUGCGACUGUUUAUCAAAAACACAGCACUCUGCAAACACGAAAGUGGACGUAUAGGGUGUGACGCCUGCCCGGUGCUGGAAGGUUAAUUGAUGGGGUCAGCCGCAAGGCGAAGCUCUUGAUCGAAGCCCCAGUAAACGGCGGCCGUAACUAUAACGGUCCUAAGGUAGCGAAAUUCCUUGUCGGGUAAGUUCCGACCUGCACGAAUGGCGUAACGACAGCGGCGCUGUCUCCACCCGAGACUCAGUGAAAUUGAAAUCGCUGUGAAGAUGCAGCGUUCCCGUGGCAAGACGGAAAGACCCCGUGAACCUUUACUAUAGCUUUACACUGAACGUUGAGUUCGUCUGUGUAGGAUAGGUGGGAGGCUAUGAAACCAUGGCGCUAGCUGUGGCGGAGCCAUCCUUGAAAUACCACCCUGUCGUGCUUGACGUUCUAACCUGGGCCCAUUAUCUGGGUCGGGGACCGUGUAUGGUGGGUAGUUUGACUGGGGCGGUCUCCUCCUAAAGAGUAACGGAGGAGCUCGAAGGUACGCUCAGCGCGGUCGGACAUCGCGCACUGUGUGCAAAGGCAUAAGCGUGCUUGACUGCAAGAUCGACGGAUCAAGCAGGUAGGAAACUAGGACUUAGUGAUCCGGUGGUUCUGUAUGGAAGGGCCAUCGCUCAACGGAUAAAAGGUACUCCGGGGAUAACAGGCUGAUACCGCCCAAGAGUUCAUAUCGACGGCGGUGUUUGGCACCUCGAUGUCGGCUCAUCACAUCCUGGGGCUGUAGUCGGUCCCAAGGGUAUGGCUGUUCGCCAUUUAAAGUGGUACGCGAGCUGGGUUCAGAACGUCGUGAGACAGUUCGGUCCCUAUCUGCCAUGGGCGUUGGAGAUUUGAGAGGGGCUGCUCCUAGUACGAGAGGACCGGAGUGGACGAACCUCUGGUGUUCCGGUUGUCACGCCAGUGGCAUUGCCGGGUAGCUAUGUUCGGAAGCGAUAACCGCUGAAAGCAUCUAAGCGGGAAGCGCGCCUCAAGAUGAGAUCUCCCGGGGCACAAGCCCCCUGAAGGAACCAUGUAGACUACGUGGUUGAUAGGUCAGGUGUGUAAGUACAGCAAUGUAUUGAGCUAACUGAUACUAAUGAUCCGUGCGGCUUGACCAUAUAACCU